rnacentral:rRNA from 1 species
UGGGGAAUUUUGGACAAUGGGCGAAAGCCUGAUCCAGCAAUGCCGCGUGUGUGAAGAAGGCCUUCGGGUUGUAAAGCACUUUUGUCCGGAAAGAAAUCCUUGGCUCUAAUACAGUCGGGGGAUGACGGUACCGGAAGAAUAAGCACCGGCUAACUACGUGCCAGCAGCCGCGGUAAUACGUAGGGUGCAAGCGUUAAUCGGAAUUACUGGGCGUAAAGCGUGCGCAGGCGGUUUGCUAAGACCGAUGUGAAAUCCCCGGGCUCAACCUGGGAACUGCAUUGGUGACUGGCAGGCUAGAGUAUGGCAGAGGGGGGUAGAAUUCCACGUGUAGCAGUGAAAUGCGUAGAGAUGUGGAGGAAUACCGAUGGCGAAGGCAGCCCCCUGGGCCGAUACUGACGCUCAUGCACGAAAGCGUGGGGAGCAAACAGGAUUAGAUACCCUGGUAGUCCACGCCCUAAACGAUGUCAACUAGUUGUUGGGGAUUCAUUUCCUUAGUAACGUAGCUAACGCGUGAAGCUGACCGCCUGGGGGAGUACGGUCGCAAGAUUAAAACUUAAAUGAAUUGACGGGGUCAUAGCUGUUUCCU